GCUCAGAAUUGGAAGCUUUGUGAAUAUGUGAAAGGUUUUGUUCUAGUUAACAACACUCAAGUUUCCUUGAUCGUUAGAAUGGACGUGGAUACCGUGCUGGCCAAAGUCGGCUUGGGAAAAGCUGACGACAUAGAAGCAGUCCUGGGGAAGUACAAUACAGAGAACCGUACAAUGUUUACGUUUGAUCCUUCUGAUGAAGAAAAAAGAACGGUGCUGACAAUAUAGAAAUCACACCGGCAACCAGUUAAAAUGGUGAAAAUGUACUCAACUUUCUGUUGUGUGCCACAUGGAGAAGAGAGAUCAGCAAAGAAUUGAGGAUUUGAGAACAAAAAUUAUGGAAAAUCAUG